CGUAGGGUCCAAGCGUUGUCCGGAUUUACUGGGUUUAAAGGGUGCGUAGGCGGCUUUUAAGUCGGCGAUGAAAUGCAGGGGCUCAACCUUUGCGCUGUCGCCGAAACUGGAAGGCUUGAGAGUAGAAGAGGCAGCUGGAAUAAGUGGUGUAGCGGUGAAAUGCGUAGAGAUCACUUAGAACACCGAUUGCGAAGGCAGGUUGCUGGUCUACUUCUGACGCUGAGGCACGAAGGCAUGGGGAUCAAACAGGAUUAGAUACCCUGGUAGUCCAUGCAGUAAACGAUGGAUACUAGCUAUUUGGCACGCAGGUGUUGAGUGGCCAAGCGAAAGUGAUAAGUAUCCCACCUGGGGAGUACGCCCGCAAGGGUG
rnacentral:rRNA from 1 species